rnacentral:tRNA from 1 species
AGGCCUAAGGGCUGUUUAAGCCCCAAAUCCGACUUGCAAUCAAAUGUUAUUUAUAGACC